rnacentral:rRNA from 1 species
CAGGCCUAACACAUGCAAGUCCAACGAGGUAGCAAUACCUAGUGGCGAACGGGUGAGGAAUGCUUGGGAAUCUACCGUGUAGUGGGGGAUAACGUUUCUAAAGGAACGCUAAUACCGCAUACGUCCUAAGGGAGAAAGGGGGGGAUCUUCGGACCUCUCGCUAUACGAUGAUCCCAAGUCGGAUUAUCUAGUUGGUGGGGUAAAGGCCUACCUGGGUGACGAUCCGUACCUGGUCUGAGAGGAUGAUCAGCCACACUGGAACUGAGACACGGUCCAGACUCCUACGGGAGGCAGCAGUGGGGAAUAUUGGACAAUGGGGGCGACCCUGAUCCAUCCAUGCCGCGUGUGUGAGUAAUGCCUUCUGGUUGUAAAGCUCUUUCUAUUUGGAUGAAGGGCGCCUGGAUAUACCUGGGUGCAUUGACGUUACCCGCAGAAUAAGCCCCGGCUAACUCUGUGCCAGCAUCCGCGGUAAUUUCCAGGGUGCACGCGUUUAUCGGAAUUACUGGGCGUAAAGCGAUCGUACGCGCUUAUGCUAGUUGCAGGUGAUUUCCCCGUUCUCAAUCUGGGUACUGCCUUCUGGACUGCCUGGCUAGAGUAUGGGAGAGGAAGGAAGAUUCAGGUGUAGCGGUGAAAUGCGGAGAGAUCUGGAGUAAUUUGAUGGCGAAGCAACCUUCUGGCCUAAUACUGACUCUGAGGUGCGAAAGCAUGGGGAGCAACAGGAUUAGAUACCCUGGUAGUCCAUGCCGUAAA